rnacentral:rRNA from 1 species
GAUGAACGCUAGCUACAGGCUUAACACAUGCAAGUCGAGGGGCAUCAGGAAGAAAGCUUGCUUUCUUUGCUGGCGACCGGCGCACGGGUGAGUAACACGUAUCCAACCUGCCCUUUACUCGGGGAUAGCCUUUCGAAAGAAAGAUUAAUACCCGAUGGCAUAAUGAUUCCGCAUGGUUUCAUUAUUAAAGGAUUCCGGUAAAGGAUGGGGAUGCGUUCCAUUAGGUUGUUGGUGAGGUAACGGCUCACCAAGCCUUCGAUGGAUAGGGGUUCUGAGAGGAAGGUCCCCCACAUUGGAACUGAGACACGGUCCAAACUCCUACGGGAGGCAGCAGUGAGGAAUAUUGGUCAAUGGGCGCUAGCCUGAACCAGCCAAGUAGCGUGAAGGAUGAAGGCUCUAUGGGUCGUAAACUUCUUUUAUAUAAGAAUAAAGUGCAGUAUGUAUACUGUUUUGUAUGUAUUAUAUGAAUAAGGAUCGGCUAACUCCGUGCCAGCAGCCGCGGUAAUACGGAGGAUCCGAGCGUUAUCCGGAUUUAUUGGGUUUAAAGGGAGCGUAGGUGGACUGGUAAGUCAGUUGUGAAAGUUUGCGGCUCAACCGUAAAAUUGCAGUUGAUACUGUCAGUCUUGAGUACAGUAGAGGUGGGCGGAAUUCGUGGUGUAGCGGUGAAAUGCUUAGAUAUCACGAAGAACUCCGAUUGCGAAGGCAGCUCACUGGACUGCAACUGACACUGAUGCUCGAAAGUGUGGGUAUCAAACAGGAUUAGAUACCCUGGUAGUCCACACAGUAAACGAUGAAUACUCGCUGUUUGCGAUAUACAGUAAGCGGCCAAGCGAAAGCAUUAAGUAUUCCACCUGGGGAGUACGCCGGCAACGGUGAGACUCAAAGGAAUUGACGGGGGCCCGCACAAGCGGAGGAACAUGUGGUUUAAUUCGAUGAUACGCGAGGAACCUUACCCGGGCUUAAAUUGCAGUGGAAUGAUGUGGAAACAUGUCAGUGAGCAAUCACCGCUGUGAAGGUGCUGCAUGGUUGUCGUCAGCUCGUGCCGUGAGGUGUCGGCUUAAGUGCCAUAACGAGCGCAACCCUUAUCUUCAGUUACUAACAGGUCAUGCUGAGGACUCUGGAGAGACUGCCGUCGUAAGAUGUGAGGAAGGUGGGGAUGACGUCAAAUCAGCACGGCCCUUACGUCCGGGGCUACACACGUGUUACAAUGGGGGGUACAGAAGGCAGCUAGCGGGUGACCGUAUGCUAAUCCCAAAAUCCUCUCUCAGUUCGGAUCGAAGUCUGCAACCCGACUUCGUGAAGCUGGAUUCGCUAGUAAUCGCGCAUCAGCCACGGCGCGGUGAAUACGUUCCCGGGCCU